rnacentral:rRNA from 1 species
CACGUAGGGGGCAAGCGUUGUCCGGAAUCAUUGGGCGUAAAGCGCGUGUAGGCGGCUCGAUAAGUCCGCUGUGAAAGUCCAGGGCUCAACCCUGGAAUGCCGGUGGAAACUGUCGGGCUAGAGUCCGGAAGAGGCGAGUGGAAUUCCUGGUGUAGCGGUGAAAUGCGCAGAUAUCAGGAGGAACACCAAUGGCGAAGGCAGCUCGCUGGGACGGUACUGACGCUGAGACGCGAAAGCGUGGGGAGCAAACAGG